rnacentral:rRNA from 1 species
CAGGAUGAACGCUAGCUACAGGCUUAACACAUGCAAGUCGAGGGGCAGCAUGGACUUAGCUUGCUAAGUCCGAUGGCGACCGGCGCACGGGUGAGUAACGCGUAUCCAACCUGGCCCUUAGUAGGGGAUAGCCCGGCGAAAGUCGGAUUAAUACCCUAUGUUUUCCGUUGCGGACAUCUAAGAUGGAACAAAGGCUUGCCGCUAAGGGAUGGGGAUGCGUCUGAUUAGAUGGUAGGCGGGGUAACGGCCCACCUAGUCGACGAUCAGUAGGGGUUCUGAGAGGAAGGUCCCCCACAUUGGAACUGAGACACGGUCCAAACUCCUACGGGAGGCAGCAGUGAGGAAUAUUGGUCAAUGGUCGAGAGACUGAACCAGCCAAGUAGCGUGCAGGAAGACGGCCCUAUGGGUUGUAAACUGCUUUUAUGCGGGGAUAAAGUCACCUACGUGUAGGUGUUUGUAGGUACCGCAUGAAUAAGGACCGGCUAAUUCCGUGCCAGCCGCCGC